rnacentral:rRNA from 1 species
UACGCAGGUGGCAAGCGUUGUCCGGAAUUAUUGGGCGUAAAGCGCGCGCAGGUGGUCCUUUAAGUCUGAUGUGAAAGCCCACGGCUCAACCGUGGAGGGUCAUUGGAAACUGGGGGACUUGAGUACAGAAGAGGAAAGUGGAAUUCCACGUGUAGCGGUGAAAUGCGUAGAGAUGUGGAGGAACACCAGUGGCGAAGGCGACUUUCUGGUCUGUAACUGACACUGAGGCGCGAAAGCGUGGGGAGCGAACAGG